GACGAACCGUGCGAACGUUAUUCGGAAUCACUGGGCGUAAAGCGUGCGCAGGCGGUUAUGUAAGACAGUUGUGAAAUCCCCGGGCUCAACCUGGGAACUGCAUCUGUGACUGCAUAGCUAGAGUACGGUAGAGGGGGAUGGGAAUUCCGCGUGUAGCAGUGAAAUGCGUAGAUAUGACGGAGGAACACCGAUGGCGAAGGCAAUCCCCUGGACCUGUACUGACGCUCAUGCACGAAAGCGUGGGGAGCAAACGAGG
rnacentral:rRNA from 1 species